rnacentral:rRNA from 1 species
GACGAACGCUGGCGGCGUGCUUAACACAUGCAAGUCGAACGGAAAGGCCCUUCUUUUGUGGUGUGCUCGAGUGGCGAACGGGUUAGUAACACGUGAGUAACCUGCCCUUGACUUUGGGAUAACUUCAGGAAACUGGGUCUAAUACCGGAUAGGUGCUCCUGCUGCAUGGUGGGGGUUGGAAAGUUUCGGCGGUUGGGGAUGGACUCGCGGCUUAUCAGCUUGUUGGUGGGGUAGUGGCUUACCAAGGCUUUGACGGGUAGCCGGCCUGAGAGGGUGACCGGCCACAUUGGGACUGAGAUACGGCCCAGACUCCUACGGGAGGCAGCAGUGGGGAAUAUUGCACAAUGGGCGGAAGCCUGAUGCAGCAACGCCGCGUGCGGGAUGACGGCCUUAGGGUUGUAAACCGCUUUAGCCUGUGACGAAGCGUGAGUGACGGUAAUGGGUAAAGAAGCACCGGAUAACUAAGUG